rnacentral:misc_RNA from 1 species
UACUUGCGUAAGCGAUAGAGGCUUUGUGGGAGCUCUUUUUGUUUUUAGGAAGUAUGAAUAAAAAUAAAAAAGCGACUGCCGAUAGCGCGACCCAAA